rnacentral:rRNA from 1 species
GAAGUUGGAUUCGCUAGUAAUCGCGCAUCAGCCAUGGCGCGGUGAAUACGUUCCCGGGCCCUUGUACACACCGCCCGUCAAGCCAUGGGAGCCGGGGGCGCCUGAAGUCCGGGACCGCGAGGACCGGCCUAGGGCGAAACUGGUAACUGGGGCUAAGUCGUAACAAGGUAUC